CCAUGCCGAUGGUGUGGCGCACCGUACGGCGGGCUGCGGCCGCGUCGGGCGCCGUGUUGAGCUGCAUGGCGACGUGGG
rnacentral:tRNA from 1 species